rnacentral:rRNA from 1 species
GACGAACGCUGGCGGCGUGCUUAACACAUGCAAGUCGAACGGUAAGGCCCUUCGGGGUACACGAGUGGCGAACGGGUGAGUAACACGUGGGUGAUCUGCCCUGCACUUCGGGAUAGGCCUGGGAAACUGGGUCUAAUACCGGAUAGGACCACUGCCUGCAUGGGUGGUGGUGGAAAGCUUUUGCGGUGUGGGAUGGGCCCGCGGCCUAUCAGCUUGUUGGUGGGGUGAUGGCCUACCAAGGCGACGGCGGGUAGCCGGCCUGAGAGGGUGACCGGGCACACUGGGACUGAAAUACGGGCCAGACUCCUACGGGAGGCAGCAGUGGGGAAUAUUGCACAAUGGGCGCAAGCCUGAUGCGGCGACGCCGCGUGAGGGAUGACGGCCUUCGGGUUGUAAACCUCUUUCAGCACCGACGAAGCGCAAGUGACGGUAGGUGCAGAAGAAGGACCGGCCAACUACGUGCCAGCCGCCGCGGUAA